GACGAACGCUGGCGGCGUGCUUAACACAUGCAAGUCGAACGGAAAGGCCCUGCUUUUGUGGGGUGCUCGAGUGGCGAACGGGUGAGUAACACGUGAGUAACCUGCCCUUGACUUUGGGAUAACUUCAGGAAACUGGGGCUAAUACCGGAUAGGAGCUCCUGCUGCAUGGUGGGGGUUGGAAAGUUUCGGCGGUUGGGGAUGGACUCGCGGCUUAUCAGCUUGUUGGUGGGGUAGUGGCUUACCAAGGCUUUGACAGGUAGCCGGCCUGAGAGGGUGACCGGCCACAUUGGGACUGAGAUACGGCCCAGACUCCUACGGGAGGCAGCAGUGGGGAAUAUUGCGCAAUGGGCGGAAGCCUGAUGCAGCAACGCCGCGUGCGGGAUGACGGCCUUCGGGUUGGAAACCGCUUUCGCCUGUGACGAAGCGUGAGUGACGGUAAUGGGUAAAGAAGCACCGGCUAACUACGUG
rnacentral:rRNA from 1 species